CCAGAGUAUCAAUUGGAGGGCAAGUCUGGUGCCAGCAGCCGCGGUAAUUCCAGCUCCAAUAGCGUAUAUUAAACUUGUUGCAGUUAAAAAGCUCGUAGUUGAAUUUCUGCUGUAUCGUUUUCCUCUGCUUGACAGUUGGAUUUCGUUACGGCUUAGUUGGGUUACAGAUCUUGUUACCCAACGUUUACUUUGAGAAAAUUAGAGUGCU
rnacentral:rRNA from 1 species